rnacentral:rRNA from 1 species
AUUGAACGCUGGCGGCAGGCCUAACACAUGCAAGUCGAGCGAGCGGCGGACGGGUGAGUAAUGUAUGGGGACUGCCCGAUAGAGGGGGAUAACUACUGGAAACGGUGGCUAAUACCGCAUACUAUCGGAUAACCCAUAUGGGGUUGGCUAGUAGGUGGGGUAAAGGCUCACCUAGGCGGCGAUCUCUAGCUGGUCUGAGAGGAUGAUCAGCCACACUUGGACUGAGACACGGCCCAGAUUCUUACGGAGGCAGCAGGGGGGAAUAUUGCACAAUGGUCACAAGCCUGAUGCAGCCAUGCCGCGUGUAUGAAGAAGGCCUUAGGGUUGUAAAGUACGUUCAGCGGGGAGGCGUUACCCGCAGAAGAAGCACCGGCUAACUCCGUGCCAGCCGCCGCGGUAAUAC